GAACAUUCGAUCACUGGUGGGGUAAGCUAGCGUCUCCGGCUACGAAUCCAGCCGACAUGGAGAGGAAAGUUCUAGCACUCCAGGCAAGGAAGAAAAGGGGGAAAGCAAAGAAAACCAGCAAGAAGCAGCCAGUCAAUCCCAGAGCUCGACAACUAUCCCAGCAGGAAGCCUCGCCUCAGGAACCAGAGGAACCUGAGGAGAUUCUUGGCUCAGAUGACGAGGAGCAAGAGGACCCCAAUGACUACUGCAAAGGUGGCUACCAUCAUGUGAAAGUAGGAGAUCUUUACAAUGGGAAAUACCACGUAAUCCGUAAACUGGGCUGGGGACAUUUCUCAACUGUGUGGCUCGCCUGGGACGUCCAGGUGAAGAGGUUUGUUGCAAUGAAAGUAGUGAAAAGUGCAGAGCACUACACAGAGACGGCAGUGGAUGAGAUCAAACUCCUUAGAUCUGUAAGAAACUCUGACCCGGAUGAUCCCAAACGAGAAAUGGUGGUCCAGAUGCUGGAUGACUUCAAAAUCUCUGGCGUCAAUGGAACGCAUGUAUGCAUGGUGUUCGAGGUACUGGGGCAUCACUUAUUAAAAUGGAUAAUUAAGUCCAAUUACCAAGGGCUACCUCUGUCUUGUGUGAAGAGCAUCAUAAGACAGGUUCUCCAAGGCCUGGACUACCUGCACACAAAGUGUCAGAUCAUCCAUACAGAUAUCAAGCCGGAGAAUAUCCUGAUGAGCGUUGAUGAGCCUUAUAUCCGGAAGCUUGCAGCUGAAGCAACAGAGUGGCAGCGGGCUGGGGCACCUCCUCCCUCCGGUUCAGCGAUAAGCACAGCACCAGCUCCGAAACAGACUGUGAAAAUGUCCAAGAACAAGAAGAAGAAGUUAAAAAAGAAGCAAAGGCGUCAGGCAGAGUUGCUGGAAAAAUGCAUCAUGGAUUUGGAGGAGAUGGAAAAGACCACAGAAACGCGAGAAGACGAUGACGAAGAGGAGGACCCACAGUCUCCGAAGGGCCGAGCCUGUGCUCCUCUCAGACAGCUGUCUCUUCAGGGGCUAGGAGAUGAAGAAAUAGUGGACUGCAUCACAAAUGCAGAUUACAUGAGAGUGGGAUCAGCGGAGCUCUCAGAGGCCAACUGUAAUGGGCACGUAGACAUGGAUGACAAGAAAUACCUGUGGAGGAGUGAAGACCAACACAAUGGCAACACAGAGUCUCCAGAGGAGCAACAUAAGGAGACCCCCGUAUACCUCAUGUGCAAUGGUGUUGAUUCUACAGAUGACAUUGAGCUGCACACUGAGACUGGAGGCAAGGGUGCUCACAGUGGUGAAAUAACUGUGAGACAGCUUUCUGCCGGAUUGGAGGAGGGAGAGCUGGAACAAAGCUUUUUGCUGGAGGAGGGAAAGGACGAGACACUGUGUCCUUACAGAACCCAGGAAAGCCUAAGAAAUGACAAGAUGACAGCAGGAGCCCUGCUAGUCAACCCUCUUGAGCCACUCAAUGCAGACAAGAUCAAGGUCAAGAUUGCAGACUUGGGAAACGCCUGCUGGGUGCACAAGCACUUUACAGAAGACAUCCAAACACGCCAGUACCGGUCUUUAGAGGUACUCAUUGGUUCUGGAUACAGCACGCCAGCUGACAUAUGGAGCACAGCCUGCAUGGCCUUCGAGCUUGCUACAGGGGACUACUUAUUUGAACCACAUUCAGGCGAAGAUUAUUCCAGGGAUGAAGACCAUCUUGCUCUAAUGAUUGAGUUGCUUGGUAAAAUUCCUCGUCACUAUGCUCUGAGUGGGAAAUACUCUCAGGAAUACUUCACCAAGAGAGGUAUGCUACCCUUUUGUGUGUGGCUCACUUUGGGAAAGGUGGAGAGGAGACUGAAGGGAGAAGGGAAGCUGUCAGCACAUUCAGACCGACCGGAGUGGCUCAGUGAACAGGCCAGUUGGCAUUAUAAUGAACACAGAGACCAACAAACGUUAGUUCCAACAAAGCCAUCAGAAAUUGAUUUAAGUGUCAGUAGUCCUGCCAAAGACUGUCAGUGAGGGGUUUAUAUAAUAGCUUUAAAGAUUUAGCUUGAAGACCUGACUGGAUUGUUAAAACUGUAUUGAUCCUUGUUCAAGAGAUUCUCAUGACCUUUUCCACUACAGUGAUCUGAUUUAAAUAAAAGGAUGAGAUCAUAGACAGCAGUGACCAGAGCAAAAAAAGGACCUUGUAGAAGUGCUUCUGUUGUUUUACACACCUGAUUUCAACAAGUUAACCUUCGUCUGUUGUUAGGGUCGCCACCGACCCGUUCUUAGGUUUUAAAUUCGUAAAACUACCACAAAAAUGCGUUUAUUGCAUCAAGGCUUUUUGACUUUGUCAGGAACCUUUAUUUCAACAAAAUAAUAUCCAACUUUUUUUUUUCACUAAAUUAUAAAAUGCUCUGGUUGAAAUUGUUAUCUUUUACUUUUUUUCCAUUUCCUUAAAGUAAAUGGGUCGAAAUUUAGCCAUAACACCAUAGAUGUUACUAUAGUUAAUAAUAUUAAAAUGAAAAAAUAAAUGAAACAAAUGUAUCUAAGAUAUGUGUUCUAAUACCUCCCCGUAACAAGCUUUUAUUUAUUCAUAUGAUUCUCUUGAGGCUCAUUUUACCAGUUUUUAAAAUUGAAAUUAAGGGCUAAACUGACAAAAAAAAGGCCUAGAGUUCCCACAACAAUAAUAUUAAAACAAAUAUUUUCAUGGAUAAGGAAGCCUAACAAUGUAACCAAGAGAUGAGAAACAAAUUGGAUGAUGGAUAAUUGCUUUUAGUGUAUUUUAGAGAUAAUUUAAAACACGGGUCAAAACCGACCCGUUAACAUCGGAGAUGGUAACAGAAAGCUAACACCAGACAAAGGUUAAUACCCUAAUUGUAUAUGCUGGUAUAGUUUUGAUGUAAGGUGUGGAAUUAAAAGAAGACUCUGCGAAAGUUGUACCCUCUGUUAUGGAAAGUUCAUGUCACUCACUGUGGCAUAUUUAUUGGUUCUUGAUUUAAGAUUUGGAAAAUGAUGAAGAGCUCUUAUAGUGCCUGCUGGCCCUGUCUAAUCGAUUUCUGAACCACAACAAUAUGUGCUGUCAGUGCAACACUUGACUCCCUCCGUCCUCUGCCCACACACCCAGAGUGGGCCUGUGACCAAUACACACUCUGAUCAGUCUGUUGUCUGUCUUGUCUUGUGUUCUCCCCUCCUGAAACCGUCUGCCGGGUAGACCAUAUAGCGCUGAUCAUUGAGCUGCUGGGGAGUGUCCCACGCAAACUCAUAAUAAGUGGCAAAUAUUCCAAGGAUUUUUUCACCAAGAAAGGUGAUUUGAAACACAUCACCAAACUGAAGCCGUGGGGCCUGCUGGAGGUGCUGAU